rnacentral:rRNA from 1 species
AGUAGCUAACAAGGAUUCCCCUAGAUAACUGCGAGUGAAGCGGGAAAAGCUCAAAUUUAAAAUCUGGCAGCUUUUUUAGUUGUCCGAGUUGUAGUCUGGAGAAGUGCUUUCCGCGCUGGACCGUGUACAAGUCUCUUGGAAUAGAGCAUCAUAGAGGGUGAGAAUCCCGUCUUUGACACGAACCACCAGUGCUUUUGUGAUGUGCUCUCAAAGAGUCGAGUUGUUUGGGAAUGCAGCUCAAAAUGGGUGGUAAAUUCCAUCUAAAGCUAAAUAUUGGCGAGAGACCGAUAGCGAACAAGUACCGUGAGGGAAAGAUGAAAAGCACUUUGGAAAGAGAGUUAAACAGUACGUGAAAUUGCUGAAAGGGAAACGCUUAAAGUCAGUCGCGUUGGUCAGGACUCAGCCUUGCAUUUUUUAUUGCUUGGUGCAUUUUCUGAUUAACGGGCCAGCAUCAAUUUUAAUCGCUGGAUAAAGGCCGGGGGAAUGUGGCACCUUCGGGUGUGUUAUAGCCCUCAGUCACAUGUAGCGGUUGGGAUUGAGGAUCUCAGCAUGCCCUAUUUUAGGGUUGGGGCUUUGGCCCACAUUUUCAUGCUUAGGAUGCUGGCGUAAUGGCUUUAAACGACCCGUCUUGAAACACGGACCAAGGAGUCUAACAUACCUGCGAGUGUUUGGGUGGUAAACCCGAGUGCAUAAUGAAAGUAAAAGUUGAGAUCCCUGUCGUGGGGAGCAUCGACGCCCGGACCAGACCUUUUGUGACGGAUCUGCGGUAGAGCAUGUAUGUUGGGACCCGAAAGAUGGUGAACUAUGCCUGAAUAGGGUGAAGCCAGAGGAAACUCUGGUGGAGGCUCGUAGCGAUUCUGACGUGCAAAUCGAUCGUCAAAUUUGGGUAUAGGGGCGAAAGACUAAUCGAACCAUCUAGUAGCUGGUUCCUGCCGAUUUUCCCUCA